rnacentral:rRNA from 1 species
UUGGAGGGCAAGUCUGGUGCCAGCAGCCGCGGUAAUUCCAGCUCCAAUAGCGUAUAUUAAAGUUGUUGCAGUUAAAAAGCUCGUAGUUGAAUUUCGGGAUUGACACAUCGGUCGUGCCUUAAGGGGUAUGAACUGGUGUAGUCAAUUUCUCACCUUCUGGAGAACCGCGAUGUCCUUAAUUGGGUGCCGCGAGGAACCAGGACCUUUACUUUGAAAAAAUUAGAGUGUUUAAAGCAGGCAUUUUUGCUUGAAUACAUUAGCAUGGAAUAAUAAAAUAGGACGGCAUGAUUCUAUUUUGUUGGUUUCUAGGAUCACCGUAAUGAUUAAUAGGGAUAGUUGGGGGCAUUAGUAUUCAAUUGUCAGAGGUGAAAUUCUUGGAUUUAUUGAAGACUAACUACUGCGAAAGCAUUUGCCAAGGAUGUUUUCAUUAAUCAAGAACGAAAGUUAGGGGAUCGAAGACGAUCAGAUACCGUCGUAGUCUUAACCAUAAACUAUGCCGACUAGGAAUCAGACGAUGUUAAUUUUUUAAUGACUCGUUCGGCGCCUUACGGGAAAC